rnacentral:rRNA from 1 species
AGAGUGAACGCUGGCGGUAGGCCUAACACAUGCAAGUCGAACGGCAGCACAGUAGGAGCUUGCUCUUACGGGUGGCGAGUGGCGGACGGGUGAGGAAUACAUCGGAAUCUACCUUUUGGUGGGGGAUAACGUAGGGAAACUUACGCUAAUACCGCAUACGCCCUUCGGGGGAAAGCCGGGGACCAGCAAUGGCCUGGCGCUGAUAGAUGAGCCGAUGUCGGAUUAGCUAGUUGGUGAGGUAAUGGCUCACCAAGGCGACGAUCCGUAGCUGGUCUGAGAGGAUGAUCAGCCACACUGGAACUGAGACACGGUCCAGACUCCUACGGGAGGCAGCAGUGGGGAAUAGUUGGACAAGUGGG